CCAGACUCCUACGGGAGGCAGCAGUGAGGAAUAUUGGUCAAUGGCCGGAAGGCUGAACCAGCCAAGUCGCGUGAAGGACGAAGGUGCCAAGCAUUGUAAACUUCUUUUGUCAAGGGACAAAAUCAGGCUCGAGAGCCUGACCGAGGGUACUUGAAGAAAAAGCAUCGGCUAACUCCGUGCCAGCAGCCGCGGUAAUACGGAGGAUGCGAGCGUUAUCCGGAUUUAUUGGGUUUAAAGGGUGCGUAGGCGGGCUGUUAAGUCGGCGGUAAAAUGUCGGGGCUCAACCCCGGCCUGCCGUUGAAACUGGCGGCCUCGAGUGGGCGAGAAGUAUGCGGAAUGCGUGGUGUAGCGGUGAAAUGCAUAGAUAUCACGCAGAACCCCGAUUGCGAAGGCAGCAUGCCGGCUUCCUACUGACGCUGAAGCACGAAAGCGUGGGGAUCGAACAGGAUUAGAUACCCCUGUAA
rnacentral:rRNA from 1 species